rnacentral:rRNA from 1 species
GAUGAACGCUGGCGGCGUGCCUAAUACAUGCAAGUCGAGCGAACGGACGAGAAGCUUGCUUCUCUGAUGUUAGCGGCGGACGGGUGAGUAACACGUGGAUAACCUACCUAUAAGACUGGGAUAACUUCGGGAAACCGGAGCUAAUACCGGAUGAUAUUUUGAACCGCAUGGUUCAAAAGUGAAAGACGGUCUUGCUGUCACUUAUAGAUGGAUCCGCGCUGCAUUAGCUAGUUGGUAAGGUAACGGCUUACCAAGGAAACGAUGCAUAGCCGACCUGAGAGGGUGAUCGGCCACACUGGAACUGAGACACGGUCCAGACUCCUACGGGAGGCAGCAGUAGGGAAUCUUCCGCAAUGGGCGAAAGCCUGACGGAGCAACGCCGCGUGAGUGAUGAAGGUCUUCGGAUCGUAAAACUCUGUUAUUAGGGAAGAACAUAGGUGUAAGUAACUGUGCACAUCUUGACGGUACCUAAUCAGAAAGCCACGGCUAACUACGUG